rnacentral:rRNA from 1 species
AUGGGCUUCGGUAGUCGGUUCUUCCCGGCGUGUCCGAGGUGCUCUUCCGUGUUUGCGGAGGGCAUGUUCGGCGCAAGUCCUGCAUAUUUCCCUUGCGAUGCUUGUCGUCAAAGUCGGAGCUGUCAGUUGCUUGCGCGUGGUGGCCUUAUGUUGGCAUGUGCCGCCAUGGUUCCUGCAGCUGUUUGUGGGUUGGCUUCGACAAUGGAGCUCUACGGUGAAGUCGGAGUCGCCCGUUCGAGGCAACAGGUGAUGACGAUGACACUUGCGACUUCUCGGCGGAUGUUUUUCUUCUUUGCAGCUCCGUGUCUCAUGUCGGUGGCCAGGUUGGCCGGUGGUUCCCAUGUCAUAUGGGUUGGAUUGUAUCAGUUUUAG